UACGGAGGGGGCUAGCGUUGUUCGGAAUUACUGGGCGUAAAGCGCACGUAGGCGGCUUUGUAAGUUAGAGGUGAAAGCCCAGGGCUUAACCCUGGAAUUGCCUUUAAGACUGCAUCGCUAGAAUCGUGGAGAGGUGAGUGGAAUUCCGAGUGUAGCGGUGAAAUGCGUAGAUAUCUGGAGGAACACCGGUGGCGAAGGCGACUUCUUGGCCUGUUCUUGACGCUGAGGCGCGAAAGCUGGGGGAGCAAACGGG
rnacentral:rRNA from 1 species